rnacentral:rRNA from 1 species
UACGUAGGUCCCGAGCGUUGUCCGGAUUUAUUGGGCGUAAAGCGAGCGCAGGUGGUUUAUUAAGUCUGGUGUAAAAGGCAGUGGCUCAACCAUUGUAUGCAUUGGAAACUGGUAGACUUGAGUGCAGGAGAGGAGAGUGGAAUUCCAUGUGUAGCGGUGAAAUGCGUAGAUAUGUGGAGGAACACCGGUGGCGAAAGCGGCUCUCUGGCCUGUAACUGACACUGAGGCUCGAAAGCGUGGGGAGCAAACAGG